GAUGAACGCUGGCGGCGUGCCUAAUACAUGCAAGUCGAGCGAACAGAUAAGGAGCUUGCUCCUUUGACGUUAGCGGCGGACGGGUGAGUAACACGUGGGUAACCUACCUAUAAGACUGGAAUAACUCCGGGAAACCGGGGCUAAUGCCGGAUAACAUGUUGAACCGCAUGGUUCUACAGUGAAAGGCGGCUUUGCUGUCACUUAUAGAUGGACCCGCGCCGUAUUAGCUAGUUGGUGAGGUAACGGCUCACCAAGGCAACGAUACGUAGCCGACCUGAGAGGGUGAUCGGCCACAGUGGAACUGAGACGCGGUCCAGACUCCUACGGGAGGCAGCAGUAGGGAAUCUUCCGCAAUGGGCGAAAGCCUGACGGAGCAACGCCGCGUGAGUGAUGAAGGUCUUCGGAUCGUAAAACUCUGUUAUUAGGGAAGAACAAAUGCGUAAGUAACUGUGCGCGUCUUGACGGUACCUAAUCAGAAAGCCACGGCUAACUACG
rnacentral:rRNA from 1 species